CAAAGUGCUAUAAAAUGGUUUGUUGAGACAUUUAAGGUGACGUAAUUACUGCAAGCUUUGCAUGAUGAAGCCUUCAUCGCUCAAAGGUCCCACGAGUUCUAUAAAAUCACAUAUUCACUUUCCCUUUUACUCUCAUACUUUCCCCAAAACCCUCAAGUUCCCCUUGUUUUCUUCCUCGCCAAACCCCUCAUAUCACAAUUCUUGUUUUAUUUUUUUGUACGAUGGCUGAUUCUGCUGCAGCUCCAACUAAAGGAUGUGAGGGAGAAGGAUCUCGGAAAGACAUAAAAAACAAGAGAAUGUUUAGGCGGGCCAAAAGGGGGAUCAAUAAUGAUGGGCUAAGGCGAAUCAACUACGAUGAUUUCAAUGGAUUUGAGAGGGAGUCGCACAUCAUGCUUGCGCAUGACAUUGGAAUAGUAUUGCAAAGAACAAAUGUCCUACAGAGUGGGCAUCUUUGAAAAACGUGCUAGAAGACCUGAAAAAGUCUAUGUUGGAUGACUUAUCAGUAAAUUCUUAUAUAUUAAAUUAAUAAUUAUUUUUAUUAUGUAAUAUAUGAUAAUGUUUAAUAUUUAAUAUAUUUUUUUUGCAUAACUUAUUUAAAUUUUUUCUUUCAAUUUUUUCGUACUACUGCCGUCUUACUUGAGCAAAUGUAGACCUUAUGCUGGUUGCUCGAGUUGGCUCUUGGGUGCCCGAGUCAUCGACGUAUUCUGUGACGCUUCCACUUAGCAUUCGUUAGACUCACCGAUGUUCUCGUAUGCCCAACACCCCUUAGCUUCGGCAUCUACUAUCGAAUGAGAGGGAUCCCAGGCAGCCAAGAAAAACACUUAUGGUCCAUGCCGACAUCUGAAGACGGCGAAGGUUAUACACGCGACCAAUGCUCGUAUCAUUGUUGGAUUUGACAAGCAACAUUAGGCAACCCCAAUGACAAAGCAACGUAGCAGCUUGGCCCACGACAUAGGGCAAGUAGUCCGGACCAAUUGCCUUAUGCGAUGGGAUUCUUAGUAAGCAAUGUCAGAGGAAAUGAAGAAAAUGAUACACCAUCAUUUGUCGACAAACUAUAAUAUUGACGACAUGGAUGAGAAGAUGGCCACGUACAUAUACGAGCAGUUCACAACCCAAUACAAGCAGUGGAAGAGCGACCUCCACAAGUUUUUUGAGCCCUAUGAUGGUCAAGAGGCCGCUCUCCUUGGGGAGGCCUUUCCGAGUUAGAAAAGUGCCUAAAGGACUGAGAGUGGCUUUGCAAGCAUUUUCAGAACAAGAAAUAUUUGAAGAGAGCCAAGGCCAACAAGAUCAAUCGAUUGAAGAAGAUACCUUUUCACCGGUCGGGUUCCAAAUUCCGCGAGAUCGACAUGUUUAAAGACGAUUAUGUUCGACCUGGGGAUGAGACAACUGUCACAUCCCGGCCCGGGGUGGAUCACUUCCCGGGCCCGCUCCACCACCGUAGCACAAUAUUGUCCGCUUUGGGCUUACCAUUCCCUCACGGUUUUGUUUUUUGGGAACUCACGAGCAA